rnacentral:rRNA from 1 species
CCUACGGUGCGCAGCAGUGGGGAAUAUUGGACAAUGGGCGAAAGCCUGAUCCAGCCAUGCCGCGUGUGUGAAGAAGGCCUUCGGGUUGUAAAGCACUUUCAGUGGGGAAGAAAGCCUUGGGGCUAAUACCCUCGAGGAAGGACAUCACCCACAGAAGAAGCACCGGCUAACUCCGUGCCAGCAGCCGCGGUAAUACGGAGGGUGCGAGCGUUAAUCGGAAUUACUGGGCGUAAAGCGCGCGUAGGCGGUCUGAUAAGCCGGUUGUGAAAGCCCCGGGCUCAACCUGGGAACGGCAUCCGGAACUGUCAGGCUAGAGUGCAGGAGAGGAAGGUAGAAUUCCCGGUGUAGCGGUGAAAUGCGUAGAGAUCGGGAGGAAUACCAGUGGCGAAGGCGGCCUUCUGGACUGACACUGACGCUGAGGUGCGAAAGCGUGGGUAGCAAACAGGAUUAGAUACCCCGGUAGUC